rnacentral:rRNA from 1 species
ACUCCUACGGGAGGCAGCAGUGGGGAAUUUUCCGCAAUGGGCGCAAGCCUGACGGAGCAAGACCGCGUGAGGGAGGAAGGCUCUUGGGUUGUAAACCUCUUUUAUCAGGGAAGAAGAUCUGACGGUACCUGAUGAAUCAGCAUCGGCUAACUCCGUGCCAGCAGCCGCGGUAAUACGGAGGAUGCAAGCGUUAUCCGGAUUUAUUGGGCGUAAAGCGUCCGCAGGUGGUUUUUCAAGUCUGCUGUUAAAGCGCAGAGCUUAACUCUGUAACGGCGGUGGAAACUGAGAGACUAGAGUAUGGUAGGGGUUGCGGGAAUUCCCAGUAUAGCGGUGAAAUGCGUAGAUAUUGGGAAGAACACCAGCGGCGAAAGCGCGCAACUGGGCCAUUACUGACACUCAUGGACGAAAGCUAGGGGAGCGAAAGGGAUUAGAUACCCCUGUAGUCCUAGCUGUAAACGAUGGGUACUAGGUGUUGACCGUAUCGACCCGG